rnacentral:rRNA from 1 species
CCUACGGGAGGCUGCAGUGAGGAAUAUUGGUCAAUGGACGAGAGUCUGAACCAGCCAUGUAGCGUGCAGGAUGACUGCCCUAUGGGUUGUAAACUUCUUUUAUAUUGGAGUAAAAUGUUCCACGUGUGGGGUUUUGUAUGUACCAUAUGAAUAAGGAUCGGCUAACUCCGUGCCAGCAGCCGCGGUAAUACGGAGGAUCCGAGCGUUAUCCGGAUUUAUUGGGUUUAAAGGGAGCGUAGGUGGAUUGUUAAGUCAGUUGUGAAAUUUUGCGGCUCAACCGCAAAAUUGCAGUUGAAACUGGUAGUCUAGAGAACAGUAGAGGUAGGCGGAAUGCGUGGUGUAGCGGUGAAAUGCUUAGAGAUCACGAAGAACUCCGAUUGCGAAGGCAGCUCACUGGACUGUAACUGACAUUGAGGCACGAAAGUGUGGGUAUCAAACAGGAUUAGAUACCCUGGUAGUC